rnacentral:rRNA from 1 species
UACGGAGGGUGCAAGCGUUAUCCGGAUGUACUGGGUUUAAAGGGUGCGUAGGUGGGUAGGUAAGUCAGUGGGGAAAUCUUCAAGCUUAACUUGGAAACUGCCAUUGAUACUAUUUAUCUUGAAUACUUUGGAGGUAAGCGGAAUAUGUCAUGUAGCGGUGAAAUGCUUAGAUAUGACAUAGAACACCAAUUGCGAAGGCAGCUUACUACACAGUUAUUGACACUGAGGCACGAAAUCGUGGGGAUCAAACAGG